CCUACGGGAGGCAGCAGUGAGGAAUAUUGGUCAAUGGGCGAGAGCCUGAACCAGCCAAGUCGCGUGCAGGAAGAAUGUCCUAUGGAUUGUAAACUGCUUUUGCAGGGGAAUAAAGUGAGCCACGUGUGGUUUUUUGUAUGUACUCUGCGAAUAAGGAUCGGAUAAUACAUUGUCCAGCAGCCGCGGUAAU
rnacentral:rRNA from 1 species